UACGUAGGGUGCAAGCGUUAAUCGGAAUUACUGGGCGUAAAGCGUGCGCAGGCGGUUAUGUAAGACAGGUGUGAAAUCCCCGGGCUCAACCUGGGAAUGGCAUUUGGGACUGCAAGGCUUGAGUUUGGCAGAGGAGACUGGAAUUCCUGGUGUAGCAGUGAAAUGCGUAGAUAUCAGGAGGAAUACCGAUGGCGAAGGCAGGUCUCUGGGCUAUAACUGACGCUCAUGCACGAAAGCGUGGGGAGCAAACAGG
rnacentral:rRNA from 1 species